AUCUGGACUUUAAAAGUAUCUGGGUUUUUUUUUUGUCCACUUGUCUACCAUCUCAAAAAUAUUAAACAAUUAAACAAUUAAACAAUCUGUGGGCAAAUAAAACAUGUCUGGAGGCUGAAUCAGGUCCCUGGGCAUCUUAAGAAAUUCUGUUCUAGUUAAUGAAGUAUAAACAAAGGCUAGUCAGGUGUGGGUGGGAGUCUGGGGACAGGUUAGGGAUGCAGAUAGAAAGGUAACUUACGUAUAGCAAGAAACAAACCAUGACAGUGAACUAUUGUAAACACUCAAUUAGAUGGGGGAAAAAGAAUUAUUAAAGUACUGAAAUAAUCACCAUUUUAAUUCAGUGCCUGGAGUAUAGUAAAUGUGCAAUAAACGUUUGCUGAAUAAAUACCUGGCUUUUUAAUAUUGUUUUGCCAUUUAUAAUUUCACAGGUUCCUUAGGACAAUCCUGAGAGGUAAGAAUAUUAUUCUUCCUGCUUUCAUUGCCUGCAGAGGUCGUGCCCCUAGGAGCAGCAGAAUUGGAGCUUCGGUUCGCACACUUGAUUCACUAUUUCUCCCUCUUGGAUCUUGUCUUCCCAAAACCUUGCAGUGAGUGAAGGACACCAACAGAUACAACAGGUGGUAAAGAAGACAAAAAUUUAAAGAGAUGAUGAUAGAAAACAAGAAGAAACACAGCAUGGAGGUUUGGAGGCUUGGUACGCCCUGAAGUCUCCCCUGGGUUUCUCCCACGGAAU
ensembl:lncRNA